UUCCUACGGGAGGCAGCAGUGAGGAAUAUUGGUCAAUGGGCUUACGCCUGAACCAGCCAAGUCGCGUGAGGGAAGACUGCCCUAUGGGUUGUAAACCUCUUUUGUCAGGGAGCAAUUGGCGCUACGUGUAGCGUUAUCGAGAGUACCUGAAGAAAAAGCAUCGGCUAACUCCGUGCCAGCAGCCGCGGUAAUACGGAGGAUGCGAGCGUUAUCCGGAUUUAUUGGGUUUAAAGGGUGCGUAGGCGGAAUGCCAAGUCAGCGGUAGAAUCGCGGGGCUCA
rnacentral:rRNA from 1 species